GAUGAACGCUGGCGGCGUGCCUAAUACAUGCAAGUCGAGCGAACGGACGAUAAGCUUGCUUCUCUGAUGUUAGCGGCGGAAGGGUGAGUAACACGUGGAUAACCUACCUAUAAGACUGGGAUAACUUCGGGAGACAGGAUCUAAUACCGGAUAAUAUUUUGAACCGCAUGGUUCAAAAGUGAAAGACGGUCUUGCUGUCACUUAUAGAUGGAUCCGCGCUGCAUUAGCUAGUUGGUAAGGUAAAGGCUUACCAAGGCAACGAUGCAUAGCCGACCUGAGAGGGUGAUCGGCCACACUGGAACUGAGACACGGUCCAGACUCCUACGGGAGGCAGCAGUAGGGAAUCUUCCGCAAUGGGCGAAAGCCUGACGGAGCAACGCCGCGUGAGUGAUGAAGGUCUUCGGAUCGUAAAACUCUGUUAUUAGGGAAGAACAUAUGUGUAAGUAACUGUGCACAUAGUGACGGUACCUAAUCAGAAAGCCACGGCUAACUACGUG
rnacentral:rRNA from 1 species